rnacentral:rRNA from 1 species
GAUGAACGCUGGCGGCGUGCCUAAUACACGCAAGUCGAGCGAAUGGAUUAAGAGCUUGCUCUUAUGAAGUUAGCGGCGGACGGGUGAGUAACACGUGGGUAACCUGCCCAUAAGACUGGGAUAACUCCGGGAAACCGGGGCUAAUACCGGAUAACAUUUUGAACCGCAUGGUUCGAAAUUGAAAGGCGGCUUCGGCUGUCACUUAUGGAUGGACCCGCGUCGCAUUAGCUAGUUGGUGAGGUAACGGCUAACCAAGGCAACGAUGCGUAGCCGACCUGAGAGGGUGAUCGGCCACCCUGGGACUGAGACACGGCCCAGACUCCUACGGGAGGCAGCAGUAGGGAAUCUUCCGCAAUGGACGAAAGUCUGACGGAGCAACGCCACGUGAGUGAUGAAGGCUUUCGGGUCGUAAAACUCUGUUGUUGGGAAGAACAAGUGCUAGUUGAAUAAGCUGGCACCUUGACGGUACCUAACCAGAAAGCCACGGCUAACUACGUGCCAGCCGCCGCAGUAA